GGGGUUGUGGCUCAGUGGUACAGCACCAGCUUUGCAUGCAGGAGGUCCCUGGUUCAAUCCCCGGUGUCUCCA